AUGUACACAAAUUAUCUUGAUAUUGCAUUGGAUAAGUGGCUGGAUCCCAUCACAUAUGCGAAGAAUUUUCCACUUCUGCAUGAAGUAAAGGCAGAAAAGUUGAUUAGAGAAGAAGAUUUGAAUGCUGCAACCACUUCAAGGUACGAGUUAACAGAAGAGGGAGACAGUACCAUUGACUCAAUUCUGUCAUUAAUUGCUGUGAACCUUAUGAGGGGGCGGAAUGUUACCAAGUUGAUUAAUGUGUACAACCUGGCAAUAUCAACUAGUCGUGCUGGGUUCGCAUUCAGGACAACGGCAAUGGAAGAUGAGCUGACAGGAUUUGAUAAUCAUCAUUUGGCUUACAAGGCAGCGUUAGGUUUGAUACGGCAAAUGCUGGAGGCAUCUGUUGGUGGUGCAGUUCUGGACGAGGAGCUUCCUGGAGGCCUUCUGAAUCUUCUUGACAAACUUAGUGAUGCUAUACUCGUAGACAAGCGAUUGCUCACUUGUCAUGCCAGUAUCCUUAAACCUCCGGCGUUGCAACAGCUGCUGCAAAGGAUUGACCUUACCCUUGGUGAUGAAUGUAGUGAAUUUGGUACACAAGAUGACUUCCACCGCAGGGAUUGUUUGCUUGCGGCAUUGCCAUACUUGGAUGCUGAUAAUUCAUACUGCCUGCAUAACCACCAUCCAUGUUUUUCACAGUGGCUUGACUUCCGCUUUAAACAGAAAAAAAAGAGGUGUAAUGACCCAGCAAAGAUUGGGCCUCCAUGGCCGUUAUUUAUUGCUGGACGGUCAUUGGUGAGGUUACACAGGUAUGGCUUGUCUCACCCGUAUGGUGUUGCUCAGAUUGCACCAGAGACACCUUAUGAUACCUCUGAUGUUCUGAAGCUGUUUAAGUUCCGUUUCUCGAAGUACCCUGCAGAAGCUCAAGAUGGAUUCUCAAAAGCCGGGUGGGUUGAGAAAUUGGAUAUGCCAGGUUUGUGCCCAGAAAAGGAAGAGUUUGCUGGGUGGACAGAUGUCAAGAUGGACGAAGAUGGCAAAACAAUCCUACUAAUGUAG
rnacentral:rRNA from 1 species